rnacentral:tRNA from 1 species
GUUUUAAUAAUUUAAAAAAAAUUUUGAUUUUGUAAAUCAAAAAUAAGUUAUACUUUUAAAACU